AAUAUCAUGAUUGGAAGUUUUAUCUUUAUAUAGACAAUUAGUUUCUUCCAUGAAAUUUAUCUUUAGUACCUAAAACCUUCUGUUAUCUUUUUAUGUCUUUACUCUUAAAGGCCUAAAGUCUCACACAGACAUAAACAGGUAAUAGUAAGACAUAAUAACAAAUAUAUGGCUUUUAAGAUAAAUAAACGGAAUUGUAAGUAAAAGAUAAGAACUUAUAAUGAAUACUACGAUAUUAUUUCUCCAAGUAUCGUAGUAUUCAUUGUAAACUUACUUUAUGGCGUUAACUAUUCUUAUUGAAAGAUAAGGAUGAUGUUGUUCAUCCAAGUAAAUGAUCUUGUUGAAAGAUAACACCAAGGAUGGUGUUAACUAUUCUUAUUGAAAGAUAAGGAUGAGCCAUCAUCAUGGAUGGUCCUUUCAUAUCACUCAAACAAGAAGAGCUUUUAGUUCCAAAAAGCAAGAAGGAAUGGAAUAAAAAAGAAAGGAUAAGCAUUCAACUUAAUAUUAUUGCACACUUUAUUUUGUACACUUGGUCUGGACGAAUACAGUAGAGAGUCGUCAUGCUCAAAUGCCAAGGAAAUUUGAGACAAGUUAGAGGUCACUCAUGAAGGAACAAGUAAAGAAAUCUAAAAUCAGAAUUAUCACUCUCAAUUAUGAAACAUUCAAGAUGAAUUCAAAAGAGAAUAUCAAGAUGAUGUUCGAUCAUUUCACCAUCAUCAUUAAUGAUUUAAAGUUUUAUGGAAAAGUUUAUCCAAAUGAAAAGGUGGUAAAGAAGAUGCUUCGGGGCUUACCUAAAUCUUGGAAAGCCAAAAUGACUACAAAUAAAGAGACGAGAUUUAGAAACAUCAAAUUUAGAUGAGCUCAUUAAUUUUUUGCUUACACAUUAGAUGAGACUCAACGAAGGGGCUGAAGAAAAAGAAAAGUUGGUGUUGCUCAUAAAUCCACCAUAAAUGACGAUAGUGAAUCAAGUGAAGAGGUGGAUGAAGAUAAAGAGAUGACCAUUUUUGUUAGGUGUAACACCCAAACCCGGCCCAAACGUUAUGGCCGAAUCUGGCAAUGUCACAUGAUAGCGUUCGAAACUAGGUUGUUACGACAAAAUAAUUUUCCAUUUGUUUACACUAGUUAAACCCAAAAAUCGUUACUUAUCUAGCCGUACGUUUUAACACAUUUCACUGCGAAAGCUUUUAAAAGUCGUUUUGAGUAAAUCGCGUGUUUACAGGAAAUUUUACCUUUUUGAAAAUAGAGUUUUUAAAUGUUUUAGCCGUUAUAAACCAUAAACAUAAAUAAUAGCCCAAAUUAAGUGCAAGUCUCAGAAAGUCCGCAAUUUACAUCAAAGAUUACCUCAGAAUAUAAUUAAAAAUUAAAUACCCCAAAGUUGAGGAAAAAGUUUAGAUUCGUGUGGCCACCGCCAAGUCCUCUGCUACCUCGAUUCGUCAAGACUGAAGAUUACCUGCACAGACUAAAAAAAAUGGGGUGAGUUUACAUAAACUCAGUAUGUAGUUCCUUGUGCAAACAAACAGACAAUAUACAAAAUAAACUCAGUCUGGGCCUAAGCCUUUUUUAAAAUCAAUGACAGUAUUAGUUAGGGCUUUAGCUCGUCUCAGAAUAAAAGCAGUCUUGUAUUUGGGCCUUGGCUCGUUAUAGCAUCAUUAAUCGGUACAGUAACAGAUUUAUGUAGCAAACAAGUCCUACCCAGCCAGCCUUUACACACCAUUUUCGUCCAACCCUACACUCCAUGUGGGGAUAUAAUCAACCCACCCAUCUCUACACUCCACAAUAGUACCGAAAGCGGCAUUAGACUGUAAUUUGCAGUUGGACUGCCAAUAUAUUAGGCUUAAAGUCUUUCAGUACACUUCUUCCACAUAUAUCAUCUCAUCCCCAUGCAAUGCAACAUACAGUCAUGGUAUGCUAUCACAUAGUGUCAUGCAUAUAAUCAGUACAGUAUUCUAAUCAUGCUCAUUAAACAGUCAUAUCAUUCAGUCAAUUAGGGAUCAAAGCAUUGCUUACUGACACAGUAGGUUCACAGUCGACUUGGGCAACUCGUGCAGCCUUAGCAAACAAAUCAGUAAGUUGGGCUCACAUGCCCAUGUGAUCUGCUUGUAUGAGCCUACACAUUCGUGUAACCUACACGGCCCAAAUUGGCCUUGGCCGUGUAGAUCACACGGCCUGACCUAGAAUCUCACAUGCCCGUAUGGUGCACCCAUGUGGGCCCACUCUCCCGCGUGGCCUACACUACCCAAAUUGGUCGAGCUCGUGUGUCAUACACGGCCCAUCUAAUCAUCACAUGAUCGUGUCAUAUGCGCAUGGCCUGGCUCAUUGACUACACGUCCGUGUUUUGUCACACGGCCUACUACACGGACGACCACACGCUCGUGUGGUGUAGACAGAAUACUUUUUUAGCUUUUCGUCGAUUCCUCUUUUUGGUGUUUCGGGUACACACCUGGUAUCGUUUUAUUACGAAAGCACUCCUAAGCACUCCAGAACCUAUAAUUGAACAAUAGGUACCUAUUUAAUUACUUAACAGUUGAAUAAUUAUCGAAUCCGAAACUGAAACUUAGGUAUUGAACGAUUCGAUCUUACCCACAAUACCUCGAAAAUUUGACUACGACUCCAUAAAAGAUUAGUCCCUUAUUCCAAAAUUUGUUGCUGCGCGCAGAAUGAAUAUAACCCUAGAUUAGUGCUUUAGAAAACGCAACUUACAGAUGUAAGCCAAAAUUCCACUUACCAGUGUGGCAUAGGUAAAAGACAGAGAGGGAAAGGGGCAGAUACGAUUUCAAUAUUAAGGAAAGUAGAAUCAGAAGAGAAGAUGUGCAAAAUUCGGCAGUCAAGGGGGAAAAAAAAUUCGGCAGAAGAGGGAAAAUAAAGAUAGAACGUCAUAAAUUGAAAAAAAAACUUGAUAUUUUGGGAAAUAAAAAUUGAACCCGAUUUUGAUAACUCCCCUACCCAACUUUCCUUAAUUAUCUCCAUCAACCUCUUCACUAAAUCCACCACUCAGAAUCUCAUUCUACUCAAACUCUUACACGGCCCAUCAGCAAAAUAAAUCCCUUGCUUGCGCAGGGAUUCGAACUUCAGACCACCAAUAGCUUUUACACUUUACUUAGCCAUCAGACCAGCAACCCAUUUUGAUGUAAACUUAAUAACAUUCAAAUUUAAGCCUACUAAACAAAAGAAAGGCUUAUUUUAAAUAAAAAUAAAAAUUUUUCCAAACUAAGGCUUGAACUUGGGACCUCUUAUACACACCCAGAACACUUAACCACUGAACUAGAUACACAGUUGUCACAAUAUACAAAAAUAAAUAUGGGAUUUUUGGGGCGUUACACUAGGGGAGUCAAGAUGUUCAUGAAGUCCAACAAAAGACGACAUUAAAAGGAAGGAUUGAAGUUAAAAUCCACCAACUAGAAAGAUCCCAUUAUUUGUUAUGAAUGCAAAAAUUUAAGACAUAUUAAGCUUGAUUGUCUUUAAUGGAAGAAGAAGGGAUCAAGCAAAUAAAAGCUUAAGUCCAAUAUGCCUACUUGGAGUGAUGAGAAUUCUUCGAUUAAGAAGAUAAAGAAGUAGUCAAUCUUUGCGUUAUGGUCAUUGAUAACUCUAAGGAAAAGGAGCAUUGUUUUAAAGUGGACAAAUCAAAUAAAAACUUAUGAUACCUUGAUAGUGGAUGCUCAAGGUACAUGAUUGUUGACAAACAAUUUUAUCGAAUUAAAGUCAAGAAGUGGAGAAGUUACAUUUGGUGUCAACUCCAAAGGACUUAUGGUACGUUUGGUUCACUGUAAUAAAAUAGGGUUGUAAUUGAAUAGAGCUGUAAUCAAUAAUUCAACUGUUUGGUUAAAUGGAAUGGAAUAGAGCUGUAAUAGAAUUCUUGUGUUUGGUUGAAUGGAAUGAUGUUGUAAUAGCAUAAGAAAAAAAGGCUAAAAUGACCAAAGUACCCUUAACAGAA